rnacentral:rRNA from 1 species
UAGGGCGGGACACGUGGUAUCCUGUCUGAAUAUGGGGGGACCAUCCUCCAAGGCUAAAUACUCCUGACUGACCGAUAGUGAACCAGUACCGUGAGGGAAAGGCGAAAAGAACCCCGGCGAGGGGAGUGAAAAAGAACCUGAAACCGUGUACGUACAAGCAGUGGGAGCACAGGUUUACCUGUGUGACUGCGUACCUUUUGUAUAAUGGGUCAGCGACUUAUAUUCUGUAGCAAGGUUAACCGAAUAGGGGAGCCGGAGGGAAACCGAGUCUUAAUUGGGCGUUAAGUUGCAGGGUAUAGACCCGAAACCCGGUGAUCUAGCCAUGGGCAGGUUGAAGGUUGGGUAACACUAACUGGAGGACCGAACCGACUAAUGUUGAAAAAUUAGCGGAUGACCUGUGGCUGGGGGUGAAAGGCCAAUCAAACCGGGAGAUAGCUGGUUCUCCCCGAAAGCUAUUUAGGUAGCGCCUCGUGAAUUCAUCUCCGGGGGUAGAGCACUGUUUCGGCUAGGGGGCCAUCCCGGCUUACCAACCCGAUGCAAACUGCGAAUACCGGAGAAUGUUAUCACGGGAGACACACGGCGGGUGCUAACGUCCGUCGUGAAGAGGGAAACAACCCAGACCGCCAGCUAAGGUCCCAAAGUCAUGGUUAAGUGGGAAACGAUGUGGGAAGGCCCAGACAGCCAGGAUGUUGGCUUAGAAGCAGCCAUCAUUUAAAGAAAGCGUAAUAGCUCACUGGUCGAGUCGGCCUGCGCGGAAGAUGUAACGGGGCUAAACCAU